rnacentral:rRNA from 1 species
UACGGAGGGUGCAAGCGUUAUCCGGAUUUAUUGGGUUUAAAGGGUCCGUAGGCGGAUCUGUAAGUCAGUGGUGAAAUCUCACAGCUUAACUGUGAAACUGCCAUUGAUACUGCAGGUCUUGAGUGUUAUUGAAGUAGCUGGAACAAGUAGUGUAGCGGUGAAAUGCAUAGAUAUUACUUAGAACACCAAUUGCGAAGGCAGGUUACUAAGCAACAACUGACGCUCAGGUGCGAAAGCCAGGGGAGCGAACGGG